ensembl:snRNA U6 U6 spliceosomal RNA
UUCUUUUUUUUUUAAGAUUAAAAAAAAAUAUUGGAAUGAUACAGAGAUUGGCGUGUUCCCUGCACAGGGACGCCAUGCAAAUUUGUGAUGUGCUCCAGAUUUUC